GGUGUACCUGAGGACAAGAUUUGUGAAUGGGCGCACCGUGCCUCGGAACGCUUUGGUAAAGCCAUCACUGUCGUAAAAGCCCAUCGACGGCGGUGGUCGUAGUGCCGUGCAUACAACUUGUAUUUACUUAGGGUUGAGUGAGUGAGCAAAAGUGUGUUGUUUACUGUACGUGCUUUGUUUCCAUGAGAGUAAAUUUGUGUCCGUGUUAGGAUUAUGGCAGUGAAAGUCUUGGAGCUGGUCCUUUUUGUUUUAUCUUGAGAACUUUUAUGUAAUUAUGUGGUCAGGUCCUUCAAAUAACGUUUGUAGAAGAAGGGAUCCCGGAUCGGAGAUGGAUAUCCGCUAGUCCCGCUGCCUUGCUCGCCUUCAGCAGUAGCGCUGGAUGGAGGAGUACGCGGCGGGCAAGCUGAGGAGGCUGGUGCACCCCCGCGGCGUCAGCAAUGCACUCGGCCCUUCCUCCUCCUUCCACCUGGAGGAUCUCCCCGAGGAAAUUCAACUUGUUGUAUUGUCGCUGCUGCCACUAAAAGAGGCUGCAAGGACAAGCAUUCUUUCGAGAAACUGGAGAAUGCUCUGGACACAUUUCCCUAACCUUUGCUUUGAUGGCGCCGCCGACCAGUCCACUAAUGAUGAUAGUAUCAAAAUAGAAAGCGCAGUGUUCAUCGAGACAGUAAAUUCUAUUAUUCAGCAGCACGGUGGAAUAGGGCUCAAUAAGUUCAGCAUCAGGUGCAGCCUUCGGGACAACUCCUCAGAUCAUAUUGAUAGGUGGAUUCGCUUUGCAACUGCAUCAAAGGCUAAGAUUAUUGAUAUGAACCUGUGGCCGAAGAGGAAUAAUGUAGGACCAACCAGAAAUGUUUAUCGCUUCCCUCUUGAGGCUUUAGAUGCUCAAGAUGGCCCUUUUAUCCAAUCCUUGUUUCUCACCAAUGUUUCUAUAGAGCCACACUUGGUUAUUUGUGGCUUUAUGAGACUCAAGAAGCUUCAUUUGCACUGUGUUCAUAUAAUUGGAGAUCUUCCAGGCUUGCUAUUAAAUUGUUCUAGUCUUGAGGACUUGGAGCUCAUCACCUGCUCCGGUGUAACUGAUCUGAAUAUACCACACCAACUCGAUAAACUUAAUCAUUUGCUAAUUCGUUCCAAUAUAUGUGUCCAGAUGGUUGAGUUUCAUGUUCCUGAUCUUUCUCAUUUCGAGUACCAAGGUGAUGUAAUUCCUAUAGUGCUUCAUGGUCGCCCAACACUAGAGGAGGUAACCCUCAAGUUUCACAAGGCAUUAUUUGACCGAGACAAUAAUAGAGCAUUGAGUCAUGCCAUCACUGGAAUUCCCAGUAUUUCCACAGCGAAGGUGCUAAACGUGCAUACACAAAUGAUGGAAGAUCGACCAGUCUGGUCCUCACAGGGGUCCAAAUAACCACGCUAGACUUCUGCUGCUGGCUCACUAUUUAGAUUCUGCACCCAGAUUGGAGACGCUGCAAUUGCAUGCGAAUGUCUUAUGUUGUGGCGGGUGGUAGCCACUGCUGGCAUGGUGAGGAAGCCUCCUUCCGUAUGUGCAGCCUUGAUCGCCUCAAGACGGUCUACAUGAGUGGGUUCCAUUGCUUACCGGCCUCAGGUCGAGCUGCUGUGUGGCAUUCUGGAAAAUGGCACUGCGCUUGAGAAUGUGACCAUCCAACCAUUGGUGACGCCAUACGGCAAGAACUCAUUGAACAUAUACAUACCUGAGUACAAGAUUCGUGAUUGGGUUCGUCGUGUAUCGCAACGCUAUGGUAAAGUGAUCACUGUUGUAGAGGCCCCUCGACAGUGUUUGGGUCAUGUUUAUUAGCAAUGUAUUGCUCUGAACUGUAUGUUUUGUUCGUGUGGGAGUAAAUUUAUGUCCGCGUUAAGAUUAUGGCAACGUUGGAACUGGUUCUCUGAUCUCAUCUCGAAAACAAGUUGGCUGUGUAUGUUGAGAAAAUUGAUUUUGUUUCCCAAUAGAUGCUAUGUAUUAAAUUGGAAAUCACAAAUGUUAAAAUUAAGGA